rnacentral:rRNA from 1 species
CCUACGGGUGGCAGCAGUGGGGAAUAUUGGGCAAUGGGCGCAAGCCUGACCCAGCAAUGCCGCGUGAAGGAAGAAGGUUUUCGGGUUGUAAACUUCUUUGACAGGGGAAGAGCAGAAGACGGUACCCUGCAUUCCAGCCACGGCUAACUACGUGCCAGCAGCCGCGGUAAUACGUAGGGGGCAAGCGUUGUCCGGCAUUCCUGGGUGUAAAGGGCGUGUAGCCGGGAAGGUAAGUCAGAUGUGAAAUCUGGAGGCUCAACCUCCAAAUUGCAUUUGAAACUGGUUUUCUUGAGUACGGGAGAGGCAGACGGAAUGCCUUGUGUAGCGGUGAAAUGCGUAGAUAUAAGGAGGAACACCAGUGGCGAAGGCGGUCUGCUGGACAGCAACUGACGGUGAGGCGCGAAAGCGUGGGGAGCAAACAGGAUUAGAUACCCGAGUAGUC